GUCUUUUUGUUUUUUUAGGGCCGCACCCACGGCAUAUGGAGGUUCCCAGGCUAGGGGUCAAAUGGGAGCUACAGCUGCCGGCCUACACCACAGCCACAGCAACGCGGGAUCCGAGCCGUGUCUGUGACCUACACCACAGUUCAGGGCAAUGCCAGAUCCUUAAUCCACUGAGCGAGGCCAGGGAUCGAACCUGCAACCUCAUGGCUCCCAGUUGUGAUUCGUUUCCGCUGUACCACGAUGGGAACUCCCUUUGAGAAUUUCUAAAGUCUUUUUUUCCCCUCUCACUCUUAACUAAUUGUUUAAUUGUAUAGAGAGUUCUAGGUUAACAUUUUGCUUUCCUCAGAAUUCUAAAGAUGUCAUUCCAGUGUCUUCUUUCUCCUCUCACUGUUUAUGGGAAGUUGUCAUCAUUAUAAUUGUUAACUCUACUUUCCUUUUUAUUGUCUGUAAGAUUUUCUCUUUGAAGGCGGCAUCCUGCACCAAAGUCAACGGUGUCGUGUCUCUUUGUGGAUUUUCGUUUGUCCUACUUGGAAAAUAACUUGCUUCUGCAAUCUGAGAAUUCAAGUCUUUCUUCAAUUCCAAAUAAUUCUCUAUCUAUAUUUCUUGAAUAUUGUCCUUCAUCAAAUUCUCUCUCCACUCCCUGAAAGUUUUUCCUAAAAAAAGUAUCUUGAACCUCAUCAUGUUAUUUUCUGCAUCUCCUGACUGCUUCAUAAUUUAAAUGUAUUUGUAUUUUGUGUCUAUGUUGCAUUCCAAUGAUUCUUCAGAAGUGUGGGAAUUAAUUUUUUCUUUAGUUAUACAAUUUCACACAUCCAUGCAGGGUUGUUUUUUUUUUCCCGAAAUGACUAUAUUUUUAUUUCUAGUAGGUCAUUUUGUUCUUUUUUAAAAACAAUUCCUUAGCAUUUAUAACCUGUCAUUACAUUACGUUACUAUUUCCUCUUUAACUACUUCAAUCAUUUUACAUUUAAAGAACGAUGAACAUACUUAUUAAUAUCUUUUAAAUUAUUCUAUUAUCACUGUUUAUCAAUAUCUUAUUGCCAUGCUUGCCUCUGCUGACUCCCUCGAAAUCAUCUCUUUGUACCAAAAAAGUACAUAUAUAUGUACAAAUAUACUUUAAAUAUCAUCUUCAGUGAGCAAUUGCUUAGUUGCCUCUGUUAACUCAUUGCAAAGAUUAUGUCUUUGUAAAAAAUAAAUUACAUAUAUUAUAUGUGCUAUAUAUGUACAUGCACACAUAUAUUUAUAUAUAAUUACACACAUACACAGCAAGAGAUCAUCUUUGGCGGUAAUUUUGUGUGUGUGUGUGUGUGUGUGUGUGUGUCUUGCUAUUUCUGCUUCAUGUAGUUACUAUAAGUUUGGACCACACACUUGCUUUUGACACAAACUUGAGUUCUUGAUUUUUCUCUCAUGAAAUGACUUAUCAUUUGGCCUUUGGUCUGGCAAGUCAGCAACAUUUCUUUGCACUUGCCUGGGGUCUGUUUUCAGGGAUUCUCUUCCAAUGCCCUACCCUGAAGAGACUCAAGGCUGAUAAACUUUUGGGCAUCACUCAAGGUUCCUUUUGGAUUCGAGAUGUCUACUAAUUUCUGGCAUUUAGACUUAGAGAUUUCCUUGUCUGUGGGCUUGGCUAUGUGUUCGUAUGGUAGCUAGUACUGUUCCAUGUUUACGGAUGAAGAGUGAUCACAGAAACUAAUUCGUGCAAAAAUAAAAUCUGUUUGUGCUUAGUCAUGACUUAAAUUUGAGCAUGAAACAGGAGGAAAGGCUUGGACAGCUACUUAUCUCUCUAACUUUAUACUUUCAGAUACAUAUUCUAGACCACCUAAUUCCCUGUGGUAGCAAAAGAUGCAGAUAAAUGUUUGAUUUAUUUGUUCCUGGUUAAAUUCACAGUCAUACCUCAUUUUUGAAACAAUAACCUGCUAUUUUCACCAUGUAUGUGGAAAAUCAGUAAAAGGUGUCUAAAUAAGAAUUAAACAAAACUUCAAUAUUAUGCCCAAAACUUUGGCUCUUGCCUUCUUGUACACACAGAAGUGGUGUAGACCACAAAGAGUAUUUUUAUGGACUAUGGUCUCUCAAACUCAAUGAAUAAUGCUUUCACCACUCUUCCCCCCACUGUAGCCAGCCAGCAUGCUUGUCUUAAAAUUUAAAUCCGGUCCUGUCACUCUCAAGGGUUUCCCAUCUCAUCAAGCAUAAAACCCAUUCCCCUCUAUGAGCCCACACCUAGCCCCUUAGUACUUCUUUAGCCUCAUCUCUUACUGCAGCCCCUCGUAGCUCCCUUCAUCACACCCACACUAGCCUGCUUCACCUUCCUUGACAUGCAAAGCCAGAUCAGACCUCAGAGUCUUCAUUCCUUUAG
rnacentral:lncRNA from 1 species